GGAGACGUGGGUGAGUGGCUGAAACCAACGGUUUGCUAAACCGUCGUACGGGUUGAUUCCGUACCGAGGGUUCGAAUCCCUCCGUCUCCGCCA
rnacentral:tRNA from 1 species